GGAGGGAUAGCGAAGUUGGUCAAACGCGGCGGACUGUAAAUCCGCUCCCAUCGGGUUCGUAGGUUCGAGUCCUACUCCCUCCACCA
rnacentral:tRNA from 1 species